rnacentral:tRNA from 1 species
GCCCACUUAGCUCAGUCGGUAGAGCACUUCCUUGGUAAGGAAGUGGUCCCCGGUUCAAGUCCGGGAGUGGGCU